CAGGCCUAACACAUGCAAGUCGGGCGGAAACGAUGGAAGCUUGCUUCCAGGCGUCGAGCGGCGGACGGGUGAGUAAUGCGUAGGAAUCUGCCUUGAGGAGAGGGACAACCUGUGGAAACGCAGGCUAAUACCUCGUACGCCCUGCGGGGGAAAGCUGGGUUUACCUGGCGCCUUAAGAUGAGCCUACGUCGGAUUAGCUAGUUGGUGGGGUAAAGGCCUACCAAGGCGACGAUCCGUAGCUGUUCUGAGAGGAAGUACAGCCACAUUGGGACUGAGACACGGCCCAGACUCCUACGGGAGGCAGCAGUGGGGAAUAUUGGACAAUGGGCGCAAGCCUGAUCCAGCAAUACCGCGUGUGUGAAGAAGGCCUGCGGGUUGUAAAGCACUAUCAUUGGGGAGGAUGGUGGUUGUGUUUAAUAGGCACAAUCAUUGACAUAACCCAAAGAAGAAGUACCGGCUAACUCUGUGCCAGCAGCCGCGGUAAUACAGAGGGUGCAAGCGUUAAUCGGAAUCACUGGGCAUAAAGCGUGCGUAGGUUGCCCUGUAAGUUAGAUGUGAAAUCCCCGAGCUCAACUUGGGAGUUGCAUUUAAUACUGCAGAGCUAGAGUUCAAGAAGGGGUAGAGGAAUUUCCGGUGUAGCGGUGAAAUGCUUAGAUAUCGGAAGGAACACCAGAGGCGAAGGCGUCUACCUAGAUUGAAACUGACACUGAGGUACGAAAGCGUGGGUAG
rnacentral:rRNA from 1 species